rnacentral:rRNA from 1 species
CAAGUCGAGCGGUAGCACAGGAGAGCUUGCUCUCUGGGUGACGAGCGGUGGAGUCGUGAGUGUGUCUGGGAACUGCCUGAUGGAGGGGGAUAACUACUGGAAACGGUAGCUAAUACCGCAUAACGUCUACGGACCAAAGUGGGGGACCUUCGGGCCUCAUGCCAUCAGAUGUGCCCAGAUGGGAUUAGCUAGUAGGUGGGGUAAUGGCUCACCUAGGCGACGAUCCCUAGCUGGUCUGAGAGGAUGACCAGCCACACUGGAACUGAGACACGGUCCAGACUCCUACGGGAGGCAGCAGUGGGGAAUAUUGCACAAUGGGCGCAAGCCUGAUGCAGCCAUGCCGCGUGUGUGAAGAAGGCCUUCGGGUUGUAAAGCACUUUCAGCGAGGAGGAAGGGUUCAGUGUUAAUAGCACUGUGCAUUGACGUUACUCGCAGAAGAAGCACCGGCUAACUCCGUGCCAGCAGCCGCGGUAAUACGGAG